AACCUGGUUGAUCCUGCAGUAGUCAUAUGCUCGUUCAAGGGCUAAGCCAUGCAGGUCUCAGCGCACAUGGAAUCCAAACAGUUGGUCUGUGAAUGGCUCCUUACAUCAGCAGUCAUCCCAGUGAUAGAGUGUGAUUGAUUCCCUCAUCUCCCUGUGAGAGAGGACUGAGGAUCCCCUUUGGACAUCCUCAAAAACCUUGUGGCUAAUACACGAAAGUACAAACCUGCCACCUAUCCAUGCCAGUGGUGACCAGAGUAAGUUCCAUUCCCCGUACCCUUGGGGGUGGCCGGGUGCUGGCAGGUGGUGGGUUGCAGACAGCUGGAAUCCCAAGACUGGUGCCAGUGUGGAGUAUCCCUCCCAGAAUGGCAGCUUCCCAGGCAGAAUCAGGCUGUUCCUGUGUGUCUCUCUCCUCCUGCACAGGAGCAACCCUUGUGGACCCCAGCGUUGGCUGACCUCUGUUCUGCCCCCGGGCAGACAGAACUCAAAAGGCUUGAUCACUCAGAACUUCUGACCUAUCAGCUGUGACUGUGGUGUAGUGGACCACAGUGGCCUUGACGGGUAACAGAGAAUCAGGGUUCGAUUCUGGAGAGGGAGCCUGAGAGAUGGCUACCACUACCAAGGUGGGCAGCAGGCGCGCAAAUUGCCCAAUACAGAAUCAUUCUUGUGAGGCAGCGACGAACUGCAGCAAGCCCUGCUGGUUUCAAACUGGCAGGAAUGGAAUGGAUGCUAUGCAAACACAGUCAUGAGCAACAACUGGAGGGCAAGUCUGGUGCCAGCAGCCGCGGUAAUUCCAGCUCCAGAGGCGUAUACUAACAUUGCUGCUGUUAAAACACUUGUAGUCUGCCUGAGGGCUGCAGGUCUGCCAAGUGGCCUGUGGGGUCCUCUUCCCAACAGCCCCCUGGGGUUGCCCUUCUCCCUUGCCCCUCGUGGGUUUUGGGGCUGGGUCUUCCCCUGUGGUGGUCUGUGAUGGAAGCCCCACUGGAAAUAACCCUUGGACAGUAUGUCCCUGCUCCCAACCGUUUCACUUCCCAAAGCAGAUCGAUGGUGAAGGCUUGUUCCCUGCUGUAAGCCUCCUUUGGUGGAGGUCAAAGUGGUGCUUGCACCCAAGGCUUGUUGUGUUAACAGUAACCCUGUCACAAGGCAAAGAUGGAGCCAUUGCCUUUGCGUUGAUGGAUGAACUCCAGCCCACCUCCGGGACCCACCAUCAGGCAACCCUGGAAAACUCAGUGUGUUCAAAGCAUCCUGGCCCGUGAUUGUUCUACAAUCCAACCUCUAGAAAUGAGGACGAAUGCUCAUCCAUGGAUUGCACAGCAUCGACCAGAUUUGUGUCCCACAGCAUGCCCCUCUCCAUGGGGACUCUGUGUGUGUGGCUCCACCCCGGUGGUUGCCGUCACACCUCUGUCUCAGUGGGUUUGCUCCUCAAGGUGGGAUACCAAACUCUCAACAGUUUGGUGGCAACACCAUUCUGCCAGUCUUGGUGCCAUCAGGAGAAUGUGGGCCUGUGCCCAGCCUGCAAGGGGGUUGCUUUCGCCACACCAGUGGUUGGAGGCUCUCUCCCUUCAGUCUGUGUUCAAUGCACAGCCCUUGACGUCAGUGAUGGGACUGCUCAGGGUGGAAGGUACAGCAACGCCAGAGGUGAAAUUCUUAGACCGCUGCUAGACCAACUGCAGCGAAGGCGUUCUGCAAGUGCAUGUCCGUCGAUCAAGAAUGAGAGCUUGGGGAACGAAGAUGAUCAGACACCGUUGUAGUCCAAUGCUGUAAACCAUGUCAGCUCGGGGUUGGAUGGGCAAGACAACAUUGCUACCCAUUCAGCCCCAUGCCCCCUUCAACGAGAAAUCCAAGCCUGUGGAUUCAGGGGGGAGUACUGUUGCAAGGCUGAAACUUAAAGGAAUUGACGGAAUGGCACCACAAGGUGUGGAGUAUGCGGCUUAAUUUGACUCAACACGGGGAAUGUUACCAGGUCAGGACAUUGCCAGGAUGGACAGAUUGAGAGCUCUUUCUUGAUUCUUUGGAUGGUGGUGCAUGGCCGCUCCUGAUUGGUGGAGUGAUUUGUCUGGUUGAUUCCGAUAACGAGUGAGAUCUCUGCCUCCCUGUAGGCCACCCACUCGCAUCUGUAGGGUGGAGAGCUGGUUGGAAAGUCAGUGCCCCACGGCUCCAGCCGUUGGUGGCCCCACACGUCACAGACCCUGGGUGUCAUCCGUGGUGUGGGACAGGACAGGGUGGUGGUCCCUGCUGGACUCUAGGUCUUCCCAAGCCUGGGUUUCCUGGACCAGCAGUGGUUCCCCUGCCCGACUCCUGUUCCCCACGGGUGCCCCCGAAUGUGUGUGUGGUGGCCUUCAUGCCAACCGUCUGGAUGUCUGUGUUCCCAUGUGGCCCUGGCCUCUCCACCAGUUUCUCGCCUGAGAGUGGGCUGUGUUGAGCUUCCAGCCAUGAGAGAUUCAGCAUUAGCUUCCCUGAGGCGCUGCGGCUGUUGCCAAAGCCGUGCACGCGAGAGCCAACAGCAGGUCUGUGAUGCUCCCAGAUGUCCUGGGCUGCACGCGCACUACAUUGACACAGUGAAUGUGCCCUAUUUGCUCCUCUCCCUGUGAGCCCUGACCCGAAGGGGUUGGGAAAUCAUUCAAGUCUGUGCUGUGCUGGGGAUAGAUGUUUGCAACUAUCUGCCUUGAACGAGGAAUACCUAGUAAGGCUCUGUCAUCAGCAGAGUCUGAUUGUGUCCCUGCCAUUUGUACACACCGCCCGUCGUUGCUACCGAUGGGAUCAGAGCAGAGCCCCAAGGAGACCCCAAACCUCCCUGGCCUGGCAGGCUCCCAUAGUAGGGUACCCACAAAARGUAUCCUCUUUGCCUGUUCAGCCGCUGGGGAAAGCAGGGGUGGUUCAUCCACCUCUGUCUCAUCUCCCAGGGUCAAACUUGAGCAAUGCUCAGUGGAGGAGGAAGCAAAAGUCGAACAAGG
rnacentral:rRNA from 1 species